rnacentral:rRNA from 1 species
GCGAACGGGUGAGUAACACGUGGGCAAUCUGCCCUGCACUCUGGGAUAAGCCCGGGAAACUGGGUCUAAUACCGGAUACGACACAUGAGCGCAUGCUCGUGUGUGGAAAGUUCCGGCGGUGCAGGAUGAGCCCGCGGCCUAUCAGUUUGUUGGUGGGGUAGUGGCCUACCAAGACGACGACGGGUAGCCGGCCUGAGAGGGUGACCGGCCACACUGGGACUGAGACACGGCCCAGACUCCUACGGGAGGCAGCAGUGGGGAAUAUUGCACAAUGGGCGAAAGCCUGAUGCAGCGACGCCGCGUGAGGGAUGACGGCCUUCGGGUUGUAAACCUCUUUCAGCAGGGAAGAAGCGAAAGUGACGGUACCUGCAGAAGAAGCACCGGCUAACUACGUGCCAGCAGCCGCGGUAAUACGUAGGGUGCAAGCGUUGUCCGGAAUUAUUGGGCGUAAAGAGCUCGUAGGCGGCCUGUCGCGUCGAUUGUGAAAGCCCAGGGCUUAACCCUGGGUCUGCAGUCGAUACGGGCAGGCUAGAGUUCGGUAGGGGAGAUCGGAAUUCCUGGUGUAGCGGUGAAAUGCGCAGAUAUCAGGAGGAACACCGGUGGCGAAGGCGGAUCUCUGGGCCGAUACUGACGCUGAGGAGCGAAAGCGUGGGGAGCGAACAGGAUUAGAUACCCUGGUAGUCCACGCCGUAAACGGUGG